CUAAUCGUAUGUAAAAUAAGAGCUACUGCUGAUGAAUGUGAGUUUUUCUGUAAUUUUUGAACAAUUUCUACAUAAUUACGUUCUAUUUGUUUAUUGUAGUAAAUUUUGCAUCAGCAAGUACUGUCUCUAUUAUAAGUACGGAGUACCAAGACACUGACGAAAGUACUACCAGUAAGGAUGAAAUUAGUGAAAACAUUUCAGUCGUACCAAGUGAUAAAAGAAUAGAUCCUAAUAUUCAGAAAGAGGAAACAUUUAAAAAACCUAUGGGUUACAAAGAAAUGUCUGUUGAGGGGUGGAAAAAAUUUAUAAGAAAUAGAAUGGGUGAUGAGAUUUUUGAGUUUUACAGUCGAAAUGGUUUUCUGAAAAAAUCAUUACGUAUUCAAUUAGUCAAUGCAACGACUUCUGAAUUAGUGCGUAUGUAUGGAAUAUCAGUUCCUGAAUUCGCCAAAAGAAAUUUGGGACAGGCUAUUAUUUCAAUAUUUCCUAAAUUGAGAAACCCGUGUGGCCCAACGGGCUACGAAGCCUUUUAUAAAAACGACAAUGGGGGGAAGGUUUUAUUAGUUAUAGGUUACGCUUUAUCGCGAAAAAUUCCAAAGAUGAAG